rnacentral:rRNA from 1 species
UACAGAGGUCCCAAGCGUUGUUCGGAUUCAUUGGGCGUAAAGGGUGCGUAGGCGGCGCGGUAAGUCGGGUGUGAAAUCUCGGGGCUUAACUCCGAAACUGCAUUCGAUACUGCGGUGCUUGAGGACUGGAGAGGAGACUGGAAUUUACGGUGUAGCGGUGAAAUGCGUAGAUAUCGUAAGGAAGACCAGUGGCGAAGGCGGGUCUCUGGACAGUUCCUGACGCUGAGGCACGAAGGUCAGGGGAGCAAACGGG